rnacentral:rRNA from 1 species
GAUGAACGCUGGCGGCGUGCCUAAUACAUGCAAGUCGAGCGAAUGGAUUAAGAGCUUGCUCUUAUGAAGUUAGCGGCGGACGGGUGAGUAACACGCGGGUAACCUGCCCAUAAGACUGGGAUAACUCCGGGAAACCGGGGCUAAUACCGGAUAAUAUUUUGAACUGCAUGGUUCAAAAUUGAAAGGCGGCUUCGGCUGUCACUUAUGGAUGGACCCGCGUCGCAUUAGCUAGUUGGUGAGGUAACGGCUCACCAAGGCAACGAUGCGUAGCCGAGCUGAGAGGGUGAUCGGCCACACUGGGACUGAGACAAGGCCCAGACUCCGACGGGAGGCAGCAGUAGGGAAUCUUCCGCAAUGGACGAAAGUCUGACGGAGCAACGCCGCGUGAGUGAUGAAGGCUUUCGGGUCGUAAAACUCUGUUGUUAGGGAAGAACAAGUGCUAGUUGAAUAAGCUGGCACCUUGACGGUACCUAACCAGAAAGCCACGGCUAACUACGUGCCAGCAGCCGCGGUAA